AAAGAGUGCGUAAUAGCUCACUAGUCGAGUGGCCCUGCGCCGAAAAUUUACCGGGGCUAAACAAGGUACCGAAGCCACGGAUAGAACCUUUGGUUCUAUGGUAGGAGAGCGUUCUAAUCAGCAUAGAAGCCUGACUGUGAAGACAGGUGGAGCGAUUAGAAGUGAGAAUGCCGGUAUGAGUAGCGAAAGACAGGUGAGAAUCCUGUCCACCGAAUGACUAAGGUUUCCUGGGGAAGGCUCGUCCUCCCAGGGUUAGUCGGGACCUAAGCUGAGGCCGAACGGCGUAGGCGAUGGUCAACAGGUUGAUAUUCCUGUACCAGUUUCUUUUGUUUGAC
rnacentral:rRNA from 1 species